rnacentral:sRNA from 1 species
GUUUCUCUCAAUUCCUUACAAGACAAACAGAAGCAACAAACAUAUGAUCUCAGAAUUAUAUAGGAACGGAAGCUUGAUGGAGAUUGAGUCUGAAAUCCAUAUUCCAUGAUGUGUCUAUGCUUGCAAUUCAACAUCUGCAUUUUGUUGAUGUAAAUGGGCAUUGGCAUAUUAAUCUACAAAAAAUUUAAUCAUGAAGGAAUUCAGUCAAAGGACAAAAUUAAAGACUGAAUUUUGAAAUUUGCAGCAGAGAAAUGUUGCUACUGG